rnacentral:rRNA from 1 species
AUUGAACGCUGGCGGCAGGCUUAACACAUGCAAGUCGAGCGGGGUGAUGGUGCUUGCACUAUCACUUAGCGGCGGACGGGUGAGUAAUGCUUAGGAAUCUGCCUAUUAGUGGGGGACAACAUCUCGAAAGGGAUGCUAAUACCGCAUACGUCCUACGGGAGAAAGCAGGGGAUCACUUGUGACCUUGCGCUAAUAGAGGAGCCUAAGUCGGAUUAGCUAGUUGGUGGGGUAAAGGCCUACCAAGGCGACGAUCUGUAGCGGGUCUGAGAGGAUGAUCCGCCACACUGGGACUGAGACAAGGCCCAGACUCCUACGGGAGGCAGCAGUGGGGAAUAUUGGACAAUGGGGGGAACCCUGAUCCAGCCAUGCCGCGUGUGUGAAGAAGGCCUUAUGGUUGCAAAGCACUUUAAGCGAGGAGGAGGCUCUUUUGGUUAAUACCCAAGAUGAGUGGACGUUACUCGCAGAAUAAGCACCGGCUAACUCUGUGCCAGCCGCCGCCGUAA